rnacentral:rRNA from 1 species
UCGUAACAAGGUUUCCGUAGGUGAACNUGCGGAAGGAUCAUUA